ACUAUUUGUGUGACAACGGUUACGCAAAUAGUGAUGGUUUUCUAACGCCUUACAAGGGCGUUAGAUACCACCUGAAGGAGUGGGGUCCCACUGCUGCCAGGCCCCAAAACAAGGAGGAGUUAUUUAACCUGAGGCAUAGUAAGGCGAGGAAUGUGAUUGAGAGAGCAUUUGGAAUUAUGAAAAUGCGGUGGGGUAUUCUACGGUCCACCACGUUCUACCCAAUUAAGGUCCAAAAUAGGUUAAUAAUGGCAACAUUUUUACUUCAUAAUUUUAUUCGAAUGCAAAUGCCGGUCGAUCCAAUAGAAGAGGAAUUUGAUGCGAUGGCAAAUAGUAAUGCUCAUGGCCUUGAAGCCGAUCAUGACGAGUUCAUUGCCACGGUCGAGUCUUCUCCCCAAUGGAAUGCCGCAAGGGAUGAAUUGGCGGAGGGGAUGUGGCUUCAAUACUUGAAUAAUCAUUAGGAUGGACGCCGCGUCUGAGACAUCAACACCUACCCCUCUAUGCAGCUGUGGAAAUGGUCAUAUGAAUCUGUUGUGUGCCUCCGAGAAAGCAAGGAAUCCGGGCCGCUGGUAUUACAAAUGCCCGUUGGGAGGCACCCAUGACAAGGGUUUCUUUUGGUACGAUGAAUACCACGGAUACGCUAUGCGCCAGACUUCCCCGUAUGCCGGUUCUCGAAGGCCCCCCUAUCAGCGUGGUUUUCCAUCUCAAUCGUCAACAACCACUGCAUUAGAAUCUGACCGAGGCCUGAAUGACCAUGGGAAUGUCAUGCAAUCUCCUCGUGGUUAUCUUGAACUCCACACUGCAAUCUUGGCCAUGUCCAUACUGUUGCUAGCUUUAGGUUUUUUCUUUGGCAAGACAUCGUAAGGGAGGUUUGAUAGUUUAUCGGACGUAGGCUAUGUUUUUUAUUUUUUUGCUGAUGUUGUUUACUGUUAAGACUGCUGAAAUCGUUUUAUUGUGAUGUUGCAACUUUACUUAGAUGUUGAACCUCUUGGGAAUGAAUGAUUCUAGCGUGUGAACAGCAAUUUUGCUGUUAUGUUGAA